rnacentral:rRNA from 1 species
CAAUAGCGUAUAUUUAAGUUGUUGCAGUUAAAAAGCUCGUAGUUGGAUUUCGGUUAAGAGCGACCGGUCCGCCGUUUGGUGUGCACUGGUUGGUUUUAACUUCCUGUAGAGGACGUGCUCUGGGUUUAACGACCUGGACUCGGAGUCUACGUGGUUACUUUGAAAAAAUUAGAGUGUUCAAAGCGGGCUUACGCUUGAAUAUUUCAGCAUGGAAUAACACUAUAGGACUCCUGUCCUAUUUCGUUGGUCUCGGGACGGGAGUAAUGAUUAAGAGGAGCAGUUGGGGGCAUUCGUAUUUCAUUGUCAGAGGUGAAAUUCUUGGAUUUAUGAAAGACGAACUUCUGCGAAAGCAUUUGCCAAGGAUGUUUNCAUUA